AAUUAAAAAAAAAUACUAAAACGUAUAUUGAAAAUUUUCAAAACCUUCUUCUUCUUCUUCUCCUUCUGUUCAAACUCGGUUGCCUAGGUGAUGGACAGACAUGAGACAGAGACUGGGGUGGCCACGGGCAUCGAAUUUAAAGGGGCUGGGUGGAAGUUCAAACGACUAGGUGUGCUAGAUUUAAUGGGACUGGGACGAAGGAUGGAGCAUCAAUCUGAAUGACAGGGAAAAUGGGGACGCCGAGGACUAAAAAUGUUCGACAACACUUAGAUUUGACAGGAAGGCAACGGAGGGAGGCGAGCUUCUUCUCCGAUCUAGGCGCGCGAUCUUCUUCUCCGAUCUGUGCGGACAUACUUCUCCUCAAAUCUAGGCAGAUGGACUUCUCUCCCGGCUGUGAUCUCAGGCAUGGGCUCGAUAUGGGCAUUGGCAUUGGCAUUGUCUCCGAGCAGUGGAUGUGUGUCUUUGGUCUGGGUUGUUUUCUUCUUUUCUUUUUUGUUUGCAGAUCUGGUUAUGGAGCAAAGAGGAAGAAAAGUAUGUUCUCAUUGUUCAAGAAUUUACUGAUUUGGGUUUGAUAAAGAUAUUAAAGAUUGAUAUUAUUGUUCAAGAAAAUGAUGCCUUAGAUCUGCUACAUCUCCGGCUAGGGAAGGCAACCCAUAUUUGGGGUUGGAUCUUGCUACGAUUGCUCUGAGAUGGGGCUUAAUCUUGCUGUGAAAUGCCUGUUGGGUACGGCCAGAUUCCGGUGGGGAUCGCGGGUCCGUUGUUGCUCGAUGGGUUCGAGUAUUCGGUGCCGAUGGCGACUACGGAGGGUUAUUUGAUUGCGAGUAUAAACAGAGGUUGCAAGCUAUCCAUUUGUCUGGUGGGGCUACCAGCGUGUUGUUGAGGGACGGCAUGACCAGAGCACCGAGUUGAAGUUCUUCUUGGAGGACCCUGAUAGAUGGAAAGUGAGGUUUAAUUCCGCCAAGAGAGCUUCCGAGUUGAAGUUCUUGGAGGACCCUGAAAAUUUCGAGACACUUUCCAUCAUCUUUAACAGGUCUAGUAGAUUUGCCAGGCUCCAGGGUAUUCAGUGCGCGAUUGCUGGAAAGAAUGUGUAUAUCAAAUUUACCUGCAGCACGGGAGACGCCAUGGGGAUGAACAUGGUUUCAAAAGGAGUUCAGAAUGUUCUUGAUUUCCUUCAAAACGACUUUGAUGACAUGGGUGUUAUUGGCAUAUCUGGUUAGAUUUUUUUUUUUUGGAUUAUUAUAUUUAUAUUUUUAGACCAUUUAGUCACUUUUCUUUCUUGUGAACUUGUCAAAUUUUUCUUCAACCUGAGUAUUUGCUGCUGUUCCCUUUUUCAGUUAUAUGCAGUAAUACACCCCCUAUAUUCAUAUCCCUUGAAGAUGAACUCAAGGAAAAUAAAACAUUUAAAUAAUCAAAUAAUGAAAUAGUUUAAUUUGGCAAUAAGUUUCAAGACAAUUAUUUGAUUUGAUUGCUAUUUUGGCUUGUAUCCAUUCAUUUAUUAGAGAAUUGAACUGUGUCUUUUAUUUUAUUAGAUAAAAUAGAAGCGAAUAGAAUAUCUGAGUAGUAUCUGCUCAAGCUUUUAUUUAUUAGGCUAACUUUUUAUGUACUAAGGAAGGCUUAUGUAGAAAAUUUUAUUUAUUAGAUUCGGCAUGCCUAUUUACUUGAAAUAGAAAAAUUAAUAUGAAAAACUCAAUGUAAAGUUAAAAAAGAGUUGAGGUUCAGCCAAUCAUUUUGUUUACAAGAGAGCAUAAACAUUUAUUUUUGUAAUGGGUUUUGUGGAUUAAGUUGGGAUCAGAUUGUAUACUAGUUUUUUGUAAUGAAUCCACUUAUGAUUGUUUGUUUUUAUUGAAUAGCCGUUACCACUGGUUUUCUGAGGCCAUAAUUUUAUAAAUUCAAGGGUGAAAAGUGGAAGCUUUCCAAUAAGAUAACAAUAUAUGUAUAUAUUGUUAGACAAUGUAAUAUUACAUGAUUAGUUUUCUGUUUCUGGUUUGCUAGUUUUGUUAGCUUCAGUUGUAUUCAGUUAGACUGUUACAACUUCCAUCUAUUUCUAUGUUGUGUAUUGCUACUGUUGUAAAGUUCUAUAUAUAAAUAAGAUUUGCCUGUCUCAAAAUCUUCUUUAGAGCUACUUUUUCUCCAUUUACAUUCUUGAAUUAACUGCUACCACCCUAUGCUAAUUUGCCUGGUUUGCUUUGCUUUUAUCUUAUCCACCCAUGGGCAUUUUGAGUUUUUUCAACUUUUUUUUAUCGAAAAAAGGAGUAUAUUAAAAACACAUAAACAAAUUACAACUGCCAGAUUUGAAACACCACCAAACUUACACAAACUCAAAACAGAGACUAAAAUACAAGCCAAAUCAUAAACUCCUAACCAACUCAGCAAUUGAUCUAUUCUUAGCCAAACACUGUUGACUCAAACAGCCAAAAAAUCUAGUUUUCAAACUCAAACUUAUCAUUUUAACUAAACUUAUCAUUGCACCAGAUGCCAUAAAAGGCCACCCUCCAAUCAAAUAAGAAGUGUUUUUUUAGGUUCCCCAUAUAAACAUAUACAUAUAUUAGUCUAUAUAUAUCCAGAACAAUCCAGCUGGAAUGAAGAACUGACUUUCUCCCUCAAAGAACCUAAUGGAGUUUUGAAUUUGGAAGUGUUUGAUAAAGACCUCUUGAAGUCAGAUGACAAAAUGGGACAUGCACAACUCAGCCUUCAACCACUUGUCUCUGCUGCUAGACUCAGGCGGAUUCUGCAGAACUUCAAUGGCGAGACGGUGUUAAUGAAGGUUGUCCCAGAUAGUGACAACUGUUUGGUCAGAGAAAGCUCCAUCACUUGUGUCAAUGUUUGAUGCUGCAAAAUUAAGAAAGCUAAGACCAAGUUUCAAGCAGAACGAGGGCUCUGUUACUGCUGGCAAUGCUUCAAUCAUAAGUGAUGGUGCAGCUGCAUUAGUCCUAGUGAGUGGAGAGAAGGCACUUCAACUUGGAUGGCAAGUAAUUGCAAAGAUUAAGGGCUAUGCUGAUGCAGCUCAGGAUGGAAGGAGCAAUGUGCCAAGUACUCUCCUUACUCCACAUACUUUGAGGGCAGACUCAGCUCUGCCAUGCUCAAGAAUUUUACACAAAACUCCUUGUUUCAUUUAAUAUUAUAAAUUCAUUAUUGGCUUUCUUACAAGUUUUAUUGAGGGUGAAAAGAAGCCAGGUGUUCUUCUUACUUUGUUUCAUUACUUGGAAAAAGUAAACAAUCACACAGUAUGCUUAGAGGCUCUCCAGGUGAGAGCUGCAUCAGUAACAUGUUUUGCGGGCAUAACUUCCUCUGUAUUCUUCUCUCUUGCGAAGGAGAAACAGGAUUUCAUUCUUUCUGCUGCGAUUAAUGCAGCCAAACAAGACGAGGUGCCUUCAGUUAGAUCAGCUUCUUGUCGAGCCAUUGUGAUUUUAAAUUUUUUUCAUGCUUUCAUGUUUCGUUGAGCUCGAAAUAUAGACAGAAGAAUUACUAGAAACUUAAGUGGUAUAGUGCAGAGAUCCUGAACAAAUUGAUUCACGCAGUGGAGAUUAAUACCCGCGACCCCUCAAUAUUGGUGCGAAUAACUGCUUCUUGGGCUUUGGCAAACAUAUGUGAUUCUAUCCGGCACUGUAUUGAUACUCUUGCUUUGGAAGGCUCCACAGACUAUACUGCAGUCUCUGAAUCAGUGGCAUUACUAACUGAUUAUACUGAAAUGAGAGCACAUAACACCAAAAUGAAUCAUUUGAUAGUAUCAACCGUGAUAGUGCCCCUAUGCUUAAACUGAAAUGACAGCACAUAAAGUAUUGCAUUUUUUUUUUGAUUUUCUGAUGAUCUUUCGAAGUUCUUCUUUCAUGUUGUUUCUUCAAUUUCUUCAAUUACUGAUUCCACAGUAUUGUUCCCUUGCAAUAUAUGUAUAUAUGAGUUGGCAUGUUGUAUUGGCUUCUUCUACUGUAUAUACUACUGGUAUGUGGCCAUCAUUAUUUUGUCUAUAAGCUUGAAUCACCAAAAUACAUGUUUCUCUCAGCACCAUUGAUCUAUUUCUCUUCAUUUUAUUUAUAUGACAAAUUGACAAUGGCUUAGUCUACCUAUUAUGUACUCUCAUACUUAUUUCUGGUAAAAGAAUAGUUGCAGCCAUUGUUUUUGAUUGGCAAUUUACAAGUAUCAAUGCUUUUAAGUAUUUUCCAAUAUCUUUGAGGGGAUUGGCCAAUGUUAAUUUUUAUGUUACCUUCAUGUUUUCAUUCAUUAGUAAUCUUAUUAGUAUAAAUAAUAUGAAUAUAUUUUCAUUAGAAAUAUAAACAAUUAAGUGGUGGUCAAAAAAGUUACCACAUAAGAGAAAAUUCCAAUGCCAUAUCACGUGAAUACUGAAAAUUUAUCCAGUAGAUCAGUAGACCUACAAGUGUCUCUGCUGUGUGGUGGGGUGUUGUUGCUACUGCACGUAUAUAUAUAAGAAUAAAAGAAUAUCAUUAAAUAUGAUAGUUUAUAUAUAGCAGUAUAGUAUCUACAGUCCCAACUUACUGUUUUGAGUCAUCAGACUCAUCACCAUAGAGAAAUUAUGAGCAAUGUGUAUUAUUUGUUAAAAAAUUCCAAUAAUGUUGAGGUAUAUGACUAAUGUUGAGGUUAGAUAAGCCAAGGGUUCUUAGGAUUUAAGGUGAUUCUUUUCUACAGGCAUUUGAUGCUAAGUUGAGACUCAAAAUAAUGCUAUAAAUUUGCAUUUCUAGAACAACUUUUACACAUUGCAAUCUUUCGACUUGAAAAGUGGAUUGCAUCUAAUUUUGAGAAAGGGGAACAGGAAGGAGAAAAUGUAUAUGAGGAUUAUUUAGUGGAUUUCCAUAUGUGAUGUUGCCUUUAUUUUUCCUCUCCCAAUUCAUGAUGAACUAGGUCAUAUCUUAGGCAUUCUUAUUGUUGGAAUUUUUCGGUCACUAAUAAUAUUUCUGCAAUCUGGUGCUCUUUUAGACUGCUUAAGAGAGAUCCAAUGGGUGCACUUGGCUAUGCAUGUUUGAAGCCAUCCCUCAUGAAGAUUGCUGAAUCUACU